GUGUUCAGUUUGGUAGCACAUGUACUGAAAUUGGAACAAUGCAGAGAAGAUUAGCACGGCCUCUUUGCAAGGAUGACAAAUUCAUGAAACAUUCAUUCUCGUUUUUU